rfam:Microcystis aeruginosa PCC 7806 genome sequencing data, contig C308
AAAAAGUUUUCGGGGUUUGGGUUUACCCCAUUGACAGAUUUGCUUGAGUUCUCCUACAUAACUUAGCGCUACCUCGGCUGGACACCGAGGUUUUU